AAGCUUACAUGAAUGCAAAACACGAGCGGCACUAGAAACAAGGCAUAAUUUAAAAGAAUUCACCAGAUGACUUAAACAAAUAAACCUAGUGGGUUAAGCUUAUUGUUCUACAGAGAAUAAGCAACGCGGCUACCCACGGAUUGAUGGAGUUCACUGGAAUAGAGCAGGGCUGACAAAUGGGGAUAAAAUAUUUGGCAGUUGUACUUUGUCCUGAGACAAAUGACCAACUUACUUUAAAUUCAUUUCCUGCAGCUGGUGAGUGGGUGGCCAGGUCUGCAGCCCACCCAUUGUAGCCAAGUGACAUUUCUUGACUUUGAUGGGUUGCCACCUUUUGAUUCUAUAUUUUACAGAACAAUGUAUACUGCAGAUCGUUUUCCAAAUGUUCUGGUAUAAAUGAAGACCUUUUGCAAGUCGUGGCCACGCUCAGAGAAUGGGAUGUUUUGACAAGCUGCGGAAUGAGUUGUCGGGCAGCAGUCGGAAGGACACAGCACUAGCAGUCAAACAGCAAGGCUGUGAUGUCUUGACCUUCAAAAUGCACCUCCACAGCACUGAAUAUUUUAAUCCAUUCAAACAAUUUACUGUAUCUCAGUGACUGGAGUGGGCCCUGGGAGCUAACUGUUGGAGAGUUUUUUAUUGCGUUUGAAACCAUCAUUGCAGGAAUCUGGGGUUUUCAAGCUAAAAUUUCCUGUGGAAGUUGGUGGCAUUUCCACAUAUUAAAGACUUAUUCCAAGAGCUGGAUGAGAAAGCAAGCAUCAAAUCUAUAACACAAAUUGGAAAGACUUGGCAUCUUAACAAUAUUGAGGCUUCUCGAUCGACAAUGGACUCAGAUACUCUUUAAUUAGUCUCAGAAAUGUUCUAUAGUUCCCAGUAGGUGAGAUUAUCAUAUUUACCUCUAAAUAUUUCAUAUAUUUAUCAAUAAAUGCUUCAUUUAAAAAUG